CUGGCCAACAUCACUUAAAUGACAUAGGUAAGCAAAGGAAGCUUUUUUUUGAAAUACGCUUAGGCUGAGAAGCUGCUCUUUGUGCCUCCCUCGCCCGUUCCACCUGCCCCACGAUGCCUGGGCCUAGACGGGAAUCCUCCCUCCCUCUCCCGCCCCUAAAUGCCCUCCAAGCCCCCUGAGACCCAGGCCCCUCCACUCCACCCAGAACCGGUUCCCAAAAGGGCCAGGAGGUGGCGCCCGAGGCCCAGAGCCCCUUGCCGGGCAGCCUCCACUUCGUAGGCAGGGGCUCCCGCUCCCCUUCCCAGACAGCUCGUGUCGCGCUUCGCUGGGGAUGAGGCCACGCCUGGCGCAGGGCAGCGCCGGCCCUUUCCUCCUCCCUGUCUCUGUCCUCUGACUCCCGUCCCUCUCCUCCCUCGCCCCUGCCCCAGGUUCUCCUUCCUGCGGAUCUAAUUUAGAGGCCCUGUCUCAGAUAAGCCCCUCAACGCCCCCGUGCCUCCAGGAAGCCAGAGAAGCACCCUACACAGCCCACAGACGGCAGAGAAAUCAGUCUGUCCUGUGGCCCCCAUAUCAUCUCUUGGGGCCAGCACACCCUGGGGUCCAACUGAAAGGGAGAAGAGAGAACAUCGCCAGGGCACCUACCGUGUGCUGAAUACCCGAUGGGGAGUGGGGGAGAGAACUUUGCCAGGACACCUACUGUGUGCUGAAGGCCUGGUGGGGAGUGGGGGCAGUAAGGGGCAACAUGUUUACUGUUGGUUCGUGUCAUUUCCUUUCCCUUUUGGAUUUGCUGAUGUUGUUGUUGUUGUUGUUGUUUUAAUGUAUAAGAAACUGCCUUACUGAGGAAGGAGAAUCGCUUAAAUGAUCCUCAGUGCCUGCCCGUCCUUCCCUCCUUGGGGAAAGAAAGAAAGAAAUAA